rnacentral:tRNA from 1 species
GGGCCUAUAGCUCAGUUGGCAGAGCAGCGGACUUUUAAUCCGCGGGUCGUGGGUUCGAGCCCCACUGGGCCCA